AGAUUGAACGCUGGCGGCAUGCUUUACACAUGCAAGUCGAACGGUAACAGGCCGCAAGGUGGCUGACGAGUGGCGAACGGGUGAGUAAUGCAUCGGAACGUGCCCAGUCGUGGGGGAUAACGCAGCGAAAGCUGUGCUAAUACCGCAUACGAUCUAUGGAUGAAAGCGGGGGA
rnacentral:rRNA from 1 species